UACGGAGGGUGCAAGCGUUAUUCGGAUUUACUGGGCGUAAAGCGCGCGUAGGCGGUUUAGCAAGUCUGGUGUGAAAGCCCUGGACUCAAUCCAGGAAGUGCAUUGGAUACUGCUAGACUAGAGUGCAGGAGGGGUGAGCGGAAUUCCAGGUGUAGAGGUGAAAUUCGUAGAUAUCUGGAGGAACAACGGCGGCGAAGGCGGCUCACUGGACUGUUACUGACGCUCAGGCGCGAAAGCGUGGGGAGCAAACAGG
rnacentral:rRNA from 1 species